GUGAUGAUGGUUCGAACCAAUCCAAACCAUCAUUGCGAAUCUUGGGACGACCUAGCCCACAAUCAUUUUAGAGGGGCUAGGGACGAAAAAUCCCAUUAUUGACCCCUUAAAUACCAUAAUGUUAAAUUUAUGACCACAAUGCCCCCAAAGAAAAAACAGCACCACCAUCAUUCACUUGACCUCAUAUCCUUCAUCACCAUCGUCAUACAAACACCCAAAAAAAAAAAACAUUAAUUUAACCGGCCGCCUUCCAUGCUUACACUUACACAUGCAUGAUUGUUGUGUCAGGAGAGAGAGGCAGUCCCCUCUUACAACCCAUCAAUGCUUUUUACUAUCUCUCUCUCUCUCUCUUCAAGUUUAUUUUCUCACUCUUAGCUAUUUGCUCUAUAUAUUAACAGUCUCUUUGUUCAUUUUGUCCCUCAGUUCUUUCACCAGAUUUUGUUUUCUACACUACUACUGCUGUUAGUUGUAACAAGCCAGCCAGACAGAUAGCUUCCUCGGCCAAGGCUACCAACCACCUUGAAAAGGGGUAUUACAGGCAGUUUGAAAUUUUUUACUUCUUUUCAUUUCCAUGGAAAGACUAAACUCAGAGCUGUACCUGCAAAACUGCUACAUAAUGAAAGAGAAUGAGAAGCUAAGGAAGAAAGCUCAGCGUCUCAACCAGGAGAAUCAAGCACUGUUGUCUGAGCUCAAACAGAAGCUCACCAAGGAUAACUCAAAAGCCAAUGUCUCCAGUAACUCUGUCCUUGACCUCAAUCUCAGUUCCUGUUCCACCCAUAAUCCUACCAAUUCCAGCACUAACUGAUCCAGCUGGAUAGAUUAUCAUGACCCCACUAGGACUCCCUUUGCCUUUUUGGUGUAAAAAAUCAUUGUCCCAACAGUAGUAGUAAUUCCAAUUUCAGUCAUGUAGGACAAUAGAAGUAUCUUCCCACCAGGGUUACUUUUACUUCUAUUUCCAUGUUUAUCUCAUCUUUCUUUUUGGAGGGGUUAAGAUAUGGAUUUCUGAACUAUAUAGCAGGCAAUCUGCUAAAAUUGAAUAUAAUUUUAUCAUAGUUUUACAUUUCA